rnacentral:rRNA from 1 species
AACGAACGCUGGCGGCAGGCUUAACACAUGCAAGUCGAACGGGUGUAGCAAUACAUCAGUGGCAGACGGGUGAGUAACACGUGGGAACCUUCCUUAAGGUACGGGACAACUCAGGGAAACUUGAGCUAAUACCGUAUACGUCCGAGAGGAGAAAGAUUUAUCGCCUUUAGACGGGCCCGCGUCGGAUUAGCUAGUUGGUGGGGUAACGGCCGUACCAAGGCGACGAUCCGUAGCUGAUCNGAGAGGAUGAUCAGCCACACCUGGGACUGAGACACGGCCC